rnacentral:lncRNA from 10 species
GUUGAGUAAACUCUCCCACUCACGAAAACAUUCUAUAGCAAAAUUAAUGCAUUUGGACUGAGUUUGAAUCGAAUCUUCCUGGCUAAGAGCCAGAUUCUGACUACAUCCGUCAGCUAUGAUUAUUGGGUUCCCCAGCCCAUAGCAAAUUGAACAUGGGUUGGGGCUGCUAAGGGCAGCUACUCCGAGGACAAUAGAAGAGAAGCCACGAGUUAGAGUUAGACUGCUGGAAAACCUAUGUGAGAGAUAAAGGAACUCCAGCAAAUAUACUUAUUGGGAAUAUUUGGCAUAAAACCAGAGUCCUACACAGUUAUUUGGAUGAAAUGCUUAUUUCUUUUUUAACAUAAGCAUUGACUGGAAAUAUUGGUUAUUCUGUCUGAUAUUACAUGAAGGUCAGAUGCCCUCCAUGCAACCAUGAGGUCGGAUGGCAGUUUGAUGCUGAACCAGCAAACAAGCCUACUCAGCAUGAAACUAUGAGUAUAAAAACCUUUAUGAUGACCUACCUCCACUUGGAUCAAUGAAGAGGCUCUAUCUGGAAGGCUUAUCCCUGUUCCAUGUUGCAUCACGUGGAGAAGUUCCCUAAGUGUUGGAGGAUUCACUUCAGGAUGACUCACUCACAUCUGGAGCAAGAAGACAACUUAAUUAAGAGACAGCAUUUAAUGACAAGGAAAGAAAAUGUUCCUUAUCUUGUAAAUUCCUUCGCUAAUGGAAUCUUCCAGCCCACCCUGGGAAGAAGAGUUGUGGACAUAGACACAUACAGAGAGAAGACCAUGUGAAGUCACAGGGAGAAGACAGCCACCUACAUACCAAGGAGAGAGGCUGUACAAGAAACCAACCCUGAUGACACCUUGAUCUUGGACUUCCAGCUUCCAGAUUUACAGGAAAAUAAAUUUCCGUUGUUUAAGCCACACAGUCUAUGGCAUUUUGUUAUGGCAGUUCUAGCAAACUAAUAUACAGCCUAUAUCAUAUACUACUCAGUUUGACUACUUUUAUUUUGGAACAUAUUAUACUUUUGCUACUUUUGCUUAUGCAGUUUCUUUUGCUUAGUGUCCCUUGCUAGUAGAUAUUUAUAUUUAAAGAUAUUUUAGGCCUGGCACAGUGGCUCACACCUGUAAUUCCAACACUUUGGCAGGCUGAGGUGAGUAAAUCACUUGAGGCCAGGAGUUUGAGAUCAGCCUGGCUAACAUGGCGAAACCCCUUCUCUACUAAAAAAUACAAAAGUUAGCUGGGCGUGGUGGCGGGUGCCUGUAAUCCCAGCUACUUGGGAGGCUGAGGCAGGAGAAUGGCGUGAACCUGGGAGGCGGAGCUUGCAGUGAGCCGAGAUUGUGCCACUGCAAUCUGGCCUAGGCUAAAGAGCGGGACUCCGUCUCAAAAAAAAAAAAAAAAAAAAAAAAGUAAUUUCUCCCUCUUCUACAUUUCUUUUGUAAUUUUCCCUUACUUCUAAUAAAGCAACCAUCACAUUAUAUUUUUAUUUCUCCUGUAAAAUUGCACCAGUCCUCAAAGAAAAGAUCAGAGCAGUGACAAGAGUCAAGUCAGACAUGGUGGUUGCUUGGAAUGGUAUGAUGACAGUGUUGGUGAAAAUACAUGAAAAGAGGUAGAAUUGAUGACUGUGGUGGUUUAUAAAACGUAGGGAGACAAGUUAGAAGUCCAUAUGAAGGAUGCAGUCCUGGAAUGAGGAUGCUGUCAUCUGGGACCAUAAGACAUGAAGACAAGAGUGGCGUUAUGAACUGAAAGGAGCCAGGAGCUUUGUUGGAAUAGAACCACCCUAUUAACCCUGGACUUCCUGCCUGGGCUAAUUUGCAUUUGAGAGAGAAAUAAACUACUGUACAUAAGCCACUGCAAUUUGUUUUCCCACUUGCCGUCAAUAUAAUCCUAACGGAGAGAGCAGACAACAAGGUAUUAUUGAGUUAAGAUGAGAAACAGGGGACAUUAAGAGGAGGUAAAAUCCUUUACUUCCAAAUGUUGCUGUUCGCUGACGCUGGUGAAUAGCCAUGUGACAAUGAAACCCAACCAAAAAUUGAGGAGCCAAAAUAAUAGAAGAUGGGUGAAGAUGAGGAGGAAAAGCCUUCAUUGGAAGAGCAAGCUGACUCCCCCAUGAC